rnacentral:rRNA from 1 species
GACGAACGCUGGCGGCGUGCUUAACACAUGCAAGUCGAACGGAAAGGCCCUGCUUUUGUGGGGUGCUCGAGUGGCGAACGGGUGAGUAACACGUGAGUAACCUGCCCUUGUCUUUGGGAUAACUUCAGGAAACUGGGGCUAAUACCGGAUAGGAGCUCCUGCUGCAUGGGGUGGGUUGGAAAGUUUCGGCGGUUGGGGAUGGACUCGCGGGUUAUCAGCUUGUUUGUGGGGUAGUGACUUACCAAGGCUUUGACGGGUAGCCGGCCUGAGAGGGUGAACGGGCACCAGGCGACUGAGAGACGGCGCAGACUCCUACGGGAGGCAGAAGUGGGGAGUAUUGCGCAAUGGGCGGAAGCCUGAUGCAGAAGCGCCGCGUGCGGGAUGACGGCCUUCGGGUUGUAAACCGCUGUCGACUGUGACGAAGCGUGAGUGACGGUAAUGGGUAAAGAAGCACCGGCUAACUACGUG